GAGCAAGAAAGAGAGGAAGAGGGAAGUUCCAAACAGGGGAGAAAAGCUAAUUAACCCCUAUUUUACUUAUUCUGUGGCUGUGAAUGAAUUGAUAUGUAGCAGCGAAAGCUACUAGGUUAUUAGCCAGAUUCCGUCAAAUUCACCAUCAUCUUUGGGUACUACCUCCUGAGAACUUCACACAGAUAUUCAUUAUCACUCGUCGUUCGCAUCAUCGGCCAAAAUACUAAACUAAUUGCAGUUCAGCUUCAACAAAUCAACCCUUAAAGGCAAUAGUGAGACUCGGUUGAGCCGUCUCUGAAGGUCUCAGGUUGAUGGUGAAUGCGUGACAAGGGUGGUCGGUACUAAUGAUUGACAAACGGCGUACUUCUCGAGCUGAUGAUUAAUAACCAAUGCCGGUAAGG